CCUACGGGAGGCAGCAGUGGGGGAUAUUGCACAAUGGGGGAAACCCUGAUGCAGCGACGCCGCGUGGGCGAAGAAGUAUUUCGGUAUGUAAAGCCCUAUCAGCAGGGAAGAAGAAAUGACGGUACCUGAGUAAGAAGCACCGGCUAAAUACGUGCCAGCAGCCGCGGUAAUACGUAUGGUGCAAGCGUUAUCCGGAUUUACUGGGUGGAAAGGGAGCGUAGGCGGCACGGCAAGCCGAUUGUGAAAGCCCGCGGCCCAACCGGGGGACUGCAUUUGGAACUACCGGGCUGGAGUGCCGGAGAGGUAGGCGGAAUUCCUAGUGUAGCGGUGAAAUGCGUAGAUAUUAGGAGGAACACCAGUGGCGAAGGCGGCCUACUGGACGGUGACUGACGCUGAGGCGCGAAAGCGUGGGGAGCAAACAGGAUUAGAUACCCUAGUAGUC
rnacentral:rRNA from 1 species